rnacentral:sRNA from 1 species
CUGAAGAUUAGUCAGCAAGAAAUUGAAAAAAAUCAAGAAACAAUGGAUAAACAGUCACAAGAAAUUGAUAGACUUUUGUUAGAACAACAACUGUUAACUAACAAGGUCACUGAUCAAAACAAUCUAAAUGUUGAAUU